UCCCUGGUAGCUCAGCUGAUAAAGAAUCUGCCUGCAAUGCAGAAGACCCAGCUUCGAUUCCUGGAUUGGGAA
rnacentral:tRNA from 1 species